UUUUUUUAUUCUUUCUUUGUUUCAUAAAACUAUUGAACAAAUUUGUGAAUAUGUUAAAAAAAAGAGAGAAAAAAAAGUAGGAUUUGAUUGUAUGCAGUGAUCUCAGUGUAGCUAUAUCGGAGAAAUGUCAGUCAGCGCUGUUUUCCGAGUGCAGCCUGAACACAGUCGGACAGGUUGUCAAACCCAAUUUUGGCUCGAUGCUCAGACUCCAUUGGUCCAAAAAAGAAGGAAAAAUAAGUUGUUGAAAUUUUUCCCUUUAGGCUGUGUGCCACAUUUUCCUGUUUUGUGCUCUCUGAUUGGUUCCUGCUGGUCUCGUAUAUAUUCAGUGACAAAUCAGACCAAUGUGGCUAAAACCUUGCAAUGUUGCCUCCUGACCAAUCAUGUCGAUAAAUCACGUGUGACCAUGGAUCAUAUAUAUAUUUUAGAUGUGUUCAUUGUUGACCUUUGAUUUCAGCAUAUGUUUUGUAAUGACAAAGAUCUCAACAUGUUUCCUUUCUUUCCCCCCCCUCCCUUCAUUUACCUUACUCCCCUGUCCUCCUCACUGCCCCCCUCUCCCCUCACUCCUGAAACCCUCCUCCCACAUGCCGCCAGACUUCUCAUCCUUCAGCUUGCAACGCUGCUGCAUUGCAGGAGCACACGGAGGGAUAAGUGGGCAAAACUCCUCCAGAUGCCUGCCGGAGAGAGUGAAUUGUGAGCACUCAGUCUCGGUUUGACCCGCUCGAGUUGAAGCCAUACAGCUCGUAAAACACAGGGGAGCCUCGCAUAGUGAAAAUGUUGAAAUGCUGCUAAUGUGAUUUGCUGCUAGCCCGUAUUUAAAAUGGUUUUGUGUGCAACAUCGUACCUGUUCUAGUUUUUAAAAACAAAGCUGAGUCAUGUUUGCCUUGUGCUGUGGGGUUCUGCGUGUCCAGAUGCGUUUGCACAGUUGUUUGCUGAUAAAACUUUUCAUAUUUGGUUAGGUUGGAUCUUUGUUUUUUUCAAUUCCUUUGUCUCUCCACCGAUUAGAAAUGUUUUAGCUUUUGUUUGUUAUACUGGCAGGCUGCUUCAGAGUUGAAUUGGCAUUGAAUAAAAUAUGUCUGGACAUGCAGAACAUAGUGACCUAAAACUCACCAACACUCUUUUUUUUUUUUUUUUUUUCUUUUCUUUUUCAAGUAUAAAGUUUGUAGGUUUGUGUUCACAUGCUAAGCAGUGACUCUUCUGAAGUGAUGUAAGAUUGUUUUGUUUUUGUUUUAAUUUAAUGCAGGCUUGUAUUGUAUACAUCUGAUGUCUCAGGUUUUCAGCACUGAAACAGCCCAGGAUGUUUAUCUUUACAUAGAAAAAUCAUUCAGAUAACUAAUGUACGCAUUUUCAUUUAAUCCCCCACCCACCCCUCCCAAUUUUUGUGUAUUUUGCUCCUAUGUUGGUGUAUACCUCCAUCAGUCUUUGUAACUGCUUUUUGACCCUUGAAGAACUCCCAUCUCCCUCUUUCCCUCCACCUUUGUUCAUUUCUUCUUCUUUUUUUUUUUAAAACUAGUCUUUUGUAGAAUCUUCUCACUUUCUCUUCUUCACCCCUCCCUGCAUGAUGUUCCAACCUCUCUCCUCUCCCCUGACUCUCUAACCAGUGUUUCUCUUUUGUCAUUCUUACCCUUUUUUCCUCUUAUGUUGGGUAUGUUUGUGACUGCCGUGUGCAACUCUCACUAGUAAGUAUUGUAUCAUGUCUGCAGUGCUUUUAAUAGUUUGUGUUGCAGCACUUUAACAACUGAAGCUGAAGGUCUAUCUGCAAUGCGCCCUCCCUAUCCUUCAUUCCCAUGGCUACACAGAUCUGAUAGGAUAAACUGCCAUUUUGUAAAUAUUGUGUACAUAUCUUUUGGAAAGACGUCUAAUAAAAAAAAAAAUAGUACAGAGAGCA
ensembl:lncRNA